rnacentral:rRNA from 1 species
AUUGAACGCUGGCGGCAGGCUUAACACAUGCAAGUCGAGCGGAGAUGAGGUGCUUGCACCUUAUCUUAGCGGCGGACGGGUGAGUAAUGCUUAGGAAUCUGCCUAUUAGUGGGGGACAACAUUCCGAAAGGAAUGCUAAUACCGCAUACGUCCUACGGGAGAAAGCAGGGGAUCUUCGGACCUUGCGCUAAUAGCUGAGCCUAAGUCGGAUUAGCUAGUUGGUGGGGUAAAGGCCUACCAAGGCGACGAUCUGUAGCGGGUCUGAGAGGAUGAUCCGCCACACUGGGACUGAGACACGGCCCAGGCUCCUACGGGAGGCAGCAGUGGGGAAUAUUGGACAAUGGGGGGAACCCUGAGCCAGCCAUGCAGCGUGUGUGAAGAAGGCCUUAUGGUUGUAAAGCACUUUAAGCGAGGAGGAGGCUACUGAGACUAAUACUCUUGGAUAGUGGACGUUACUCGCAGAAUAAGCACCGGCUAACUCUGUGCCAGCCGCCGCAGUAA